AGCCUUCUUCUUCUUCUCCUUUCCCUUGUCUGUAAACAAACAAUGAAAUCAAUGGAGUCCAAACCCUCAACCGGAUUUGGACCCUCCACUACUCCUCUUCUCUCUCUUUCCACUUUCCUCCAUCAACACUGCUCCCGUCUCGGUGCCGAGCUCACCAAUCGUUUUGACGAAGCUAAACGACUGACUUCAAAACUCGCCGGCGACUUCAUUCAGCAGCCGUUGCCGGCGGCGAUACGGCGGAGUUUUCCAUCCCAGUCGACGAAUACGGCGUAUUCUUUUCCGUUCGCUUCUGUGUCGCAGCGUCAAGAGAAGGCGGCGAGAAACAGUGGAUUGAGCUCGGAGUAUGUGGCGAAGACAUUGACUGGAACUUCUGUGUACACUGUUAGCAAUUCGAAUAAUGAAUUUGUGCUCAUUUCGGAUCCUAAUAGUGCUAAAUCAAUCGGAUUGUUGUGUUUCCGUAAAGAGGAUGCUGACGCAUUUCUAGCUCAGGUACGGUUGCGGAAGAAGGAAGUAAGAGGUGGAGCUAAGGUUGUUCCACUGACACUUGAUCAGGUUUACAUGUUGAAGGUUGAAGGAAUCGCAUUUCGGUUUUUGCCAGAUCCUGUUCAAAUUAAGAAUGCAAUGGAGUUAAAAGCUUCUGAUGUAAAGACUGGAUUUGAUGGAGUCCCUGUUUUCCAGUCUGAUCUCCUAGUUGUGAAAAAGAGAAACAGGCGAUACUGUCCAAUAUACUUUCGAAAGGAGGAUAUUGAAAAGGAGUUAUCGUCAAGGGGAUCUAGAGGAUCUAGUGUCUCUCAGAACAUUAUGGUGGGGACUUUGGAAGACGUCCUGAAAAAAAUGGAGAUAAGUCAGAGAAAUUCUGGCUGGGAAGACCUUAUCUUUAUUCCUCCCGGUAAAAGCCAUUCACAGCACAUACAAGAUGUCACAAAAGCGUGAAUUUCUUGCAAGCAACUCCUGUUUGAAGCAAAUCAAAAUAGAGACAGGUUCACCUUUCUCCUCUGCACUUGGUCGACCCGAAAAAUCCAAAUAGUUAAAACUCUGUACUGCUGGAUUAGCUUAAAGAUACACAAAGGAUCAAGUUUUGCUUGAAAAUUUAAUGGAGGGAACAACUAACUUGUUAUACAUUAAAAAUCAAUGAGUUGGUAACUAGAUGCCCAAUUCACUUGGUGUCACCUGUACAUUGCACAUUUUGGAUUAUUGAAAUAUGUUCUACUCUUGUUUUGAUAA